rnacentral:rRNA from 1 species
GAGCGAACGCUGGCGGCGUACUUAACACAUGCAAGUCGAACGGGGAUCAUCGGUGUAGCAAUACAUCGGCGGUCCUAGUGGCGCACGGGUGAGUAACACGUGGGUAACCUGUCCUAGAGUUCGGGAUACCCUCUCGAAAGGGAGGCUAAUACCGGAUACGUUCCUCGGGUUGCGAAAUCUGGGGAGGAAAGGUGGCGAAAGCUACCGCUCUUGGAGGGGCUCGCGGCCUAUCAGCUAGUUGGUGAGGUAAUGGCUCACCAAGGCUAUGACGGGUAGCUGGUCUGAGAGGACGACCAGCCACACGGGAACUGAGACACGGUCCCGACUCCUACGGGAGGCAGCAGUGGGGAAUUUUCCGCAAUGGGCGAAAGCCUGACGGAGUGACGCCGCGUGGGGGACGAAGGCCUUCGGGUCGUAAACCCCUGUCAGAGGGAAAGAAGGGUCGCCUGGCUAAUAUCCAGGUGACUUGACGGUACCUUCAGAGGAAGCCCCGGCCAACUCUGUGCCAGCAGCCGCGGUAAGACAGAGGGGGCAAGCGUUGCUCGGAAUCACUGGGCGUAAAGGGCGCGUAGGCGGGAUGGCAAGUCAGUCGUGAAAUCUCUCGGCUCAACCGAGAAACGUCGGCUGAUACUGCCGUUCUUGAGGGAUGCAGAGGAGACUGGAAUUCCCGGUGUAGCGGUGAAAUGUGUAGAGAUCGGGAGGAACACCGGUGGCGAAGGCGGGUCUCUGGGCAUCUCCUGACGCUCAGGAGCGAAAGCGUGGGGAGCGAUCCGGAUUAGAUACCCGGGUAGUCCACGCUGUAAACGAUGAGCACUAGGUGUCGGGGGUAUCGACCCCCUCGGUGCCGCAGCUAACGCGCUAAGUGCUCCGCCUGGGGACUACGGCCGCAAGGCUAAAACUCAAAGGAAUUGACGGGGGCCCGCACAAGCAGCGGAGCGUGUGGUUUAAUUCGACGCAACGCGAAGAACCUUACCUGGGCUUGACAUGCACGUGGUACGACCCUGAAAGGGGGAGGACCCGCAAGGGAGCGUGCACAGAUGCUGCAUGGCUGUCGUCAGCUCGUGCCGUGAGGUGUUGGGUUAAGUCCCGCAACGAGCGCAACCCUCGCUGCCAGUUACGAUGUCUGGCGGGACCGCCGGGUCCAACCCGGAGGAAGGUGGGGAUGACGUCAAGUCAGCACGGCUCUUACGUCCAGGGCUACACACACGCUACAAUGGCCGGUACAACGCGCGGCGAUGGGGCGACCCGGAGCGAAUCGCAGCAAAGCCGGUCUCAGUUGGGAUUG